rnacentral:rRNA from 1 species
GACGUAGGGCGCGAGCGUUGUCCGGAUUUAUUGGGCGUAAAGAGCUCGUAGGCGGCUUGUCGCGUCGUCCGUGAAAACUUGGGGCUCAACUCCAAGCUUGCGGUCGAUACGGGCAGGCUCGAGUUCGGUAGGGGAGACUGGAAUUCCUGGUGUAGCGGUGAAAUGCGCAGAUAUCAGGAUGAACACCGGUGGCGAAGGCGGGUCUCUGGGCCGAUACUGACGCUGAGGAGCGAAAGCGUGGGGAGCGAACAGG